rnacentral:rRNA from 1 species
CCUACGGGUGGCAGCAGUGGGGAAUCUUGCGCAAUGGGCGAAAGCCUGACGCAGCGACGCCGCGUGAGCGAUGAAGGCCUUCGGGUUGUAAAGCUCUGUGGGGAGAGAAGAAUAAGGUCCGGCUAAUACCCGGACCGAUGACGGUAUCUCCUUAGCAAGCACCGGCUAACUCUGUGCCAGCAGCCGCGGUAAGACAGAGGGUGCAAACGUUGUUCGGAAUUACUGGGCGUAAAGCGCGUGUAGGCGGCCGCGCAAGUCGGAUGUGAAAUCCCAUGGCUCAACCAUGGAAGUGCACCCGAAACUGCGUGGCUAGAGUCCUGGAGAGGAAGGUGGAAUGCUUGGUGUAGAGGUGAAAUUCGUAGAUAUCAAGCGGAACACCGGUGGCGAAGGCGGCCUUCUGGACAGUGACUGACGCUGAGACGCGAAAGCGUGGGGAGCAA